UCUGUCAAACCUGUCAUUGGCUCAGAAUGCGUUGAAAUGCCAUGAGCCAAUGAAAAGCUUUGAAACGUUUUAAAGGAAUGAAGCGCGAAGCGAAACAGCGAUGACGUUCGAAGCUUCAAACGUCAUCUGUCACGUGACACUAGUGUUUUGAUACAAGCUCCGACACAGCAUUUCGAAUCACUCCGCUUCAGGAAGAGUGACACAAGCUCCAAAGCCUUGGUAUCAUUUGCCCAUCACUAAAUACAAGGAAACACAAGCAGAGCGAAGAGACUAGAAAGGAUAAACAGAUUGAAUAUGAUGAAAGAAACCAAACAAGGAUACACAUUGGACCUCCUAUUCGAGAGGUGGCUGGAGUCAACUCAGACUCCCUGAGGAACUUAAUGGACACAGGAGCGACGUGGCUUCAUUUCUCCUUGACGGUAACAAGGAACAAAGCAACAACAAUGGCGACCGUGGAACAGUGUCUGCGAGAACAAAUGGACCUAGAUGACCAGAUGAUAUGUUUAAUUAUGCUGCAAAAUCGACGGAGAAGGUGCCGGCAGAGAUGAUCCACUGCGGAGCUGGAAUUAUUACCGUCACAAAUUCAGAGUGCCAUGGUGAGCAAAAGGUUGUCUGUCACAAGUGGCCUGCUGUAGAUUAAAACAGCUAAGGCCUGAUGUUCUACUUAGGUGUUGCAAACUCACCUCAGCAGAGGCCAAAGUCUAUUUGUAGUAAUCAGGAAGCCGCAGGGCAUGAGAAGGGAGCCCCAAUGCCAAGCAGUCAUCCAGCCCAGGGGGACACCGCCAUGCAGCUAAGUGGGAACCCACCUCCCCCCCUGUUGCACUGCUGCCCAAAAGCCAAACCCACCCCCCCACGACCCACCGUCCCCCAGAGGUCGGGCCCAUCAGGCCGGACAACCACCGACGAAGAGGGCCGCCUCACCCAGACCCGCAGCACCGACCUCCGGGAAAAAAAUGGGAGUUUUGGGAGUUUGAUGUUGUUGUGGUCUAUUUGUUCCAAUUCUAGCCAAGAAUCAUCAGAAUCCGAAUCAUCUUUAUUUAGGCCACUGAGCAAAAAAGGGUUGCUAGUUAUCUGGUAAUCCCGGUACAAUUAUUUUCUUUUGACAACUGUGCAAAAAGAUGCAGAGUCCUCUCUUACUCAGAGCAGUUUGAAUGACUACUAUAGCAAUAGCCCGGUGCAAUGACCAUUGUGCAAAGGGCGCCAAGACAAGGAGUGUAUGCAGUUUAAAGUGACUAGUAGUGCGAUAAUCUGGGACAAUGUUGAUUGUGCAAAUGUUGCAGAUACUCCUCAGUCAGUGUGCAAGUGGUGCAGAUGCUACUCUGGCAUGACUGGCCAGUAUUGGUCAACAACAGAUAUGCAAAUAGUGCAGCGUGGAGAGACUGCUACAGUGAGUGCACGAGUAAUGUAUAAUUGGCCUGACAGAAAUGUGACAACAAACUCAAGACAAAAAAAAAUGGCAGCAUGUUGCAAUGGAACUGUAGGUUAGCUGUUUAAGAAGUUGAUCGCAAGAGGGAAGAAGCUGUUGGAAUGUCUGCUAGUUUUCGUUUGCAUUGAUCAGCGCCUACCUGAGGGAAGGAGCUGGAAGACCUGGUGACCAGGAUGUGGAGGGUCCGAGAGGAUUUGGCAUGCUCUUGUCUGAGUUCUGGCAGCGUGCAAGUCCUCAAGGGUGGGUAGGGGGGUACCGACAAUCUUUUCAGCAGUUUUGAUUGUCCGUUGCAGUCGGAGUUUGUCCUUUUUUGUAGCAGCACCAAACCAGACUGUGAUGGAAGAACACAGGACUGAUUUGAUGACCGCUGUGUAGAACUGCCCCAGCAGCUCCUGUGGCAGGCUGUGCUUCCUCAGAAGCCCCAGGAAGUACAUCCUCUGCUGGGCCUUUUUGAGGACGGAGUUGAUGUUGAUCGCCCACUUCAGGUCCUGAGAGACUGUAUUUCCCAGGAACUUGAAGGUCUCGAUGGUUGACACAAGGCAGCUGGACAGCGUGAGGGGCAGCUGUGGCGAGGGAUGCCUCCUGAAGUCCACGAUCAUCUCUACAGUCUUGAGCCUGUUCAGCUCCAGGUUGUGUCGGCCGCACCACAGCUCCAGCCACUCCACUUCCUGUCGAUAUGCAGACUCGUCUUUGAUGAGGCUGAUGACAGUGGUGUCAUCUGCAAACUUCAGGAGUUUGACAGCCGGGUGCAUUGAGGUGCAGCGUUCGUGUAGAGAGAGAAGAGCAGUGGAGAGAGGACAUAAACUUGGGGUGCCCCAGUGCUGAUGCUGCGUGUGGAUGAGGUGGUCUCCCCCAGCGUGACCUGCUGUGUCCUGCCCGUCAGAAAGCUGUAAAUCCACUGGCAGAUGGCAUUUGGAGAAGCUUGGUUAGAAAGGAGUUCAGGGAUGAUGGUGUUGAACGCUGAGCUGAAGUCCACGAACAGGAUCCUCACGUAGGUCCCUGCACUGUCAAGGUGUUCUAGGAUGAAGUGCAGUCCCAUAUUGACUGCAUCAACAAUUUAGAUGAGGAUUGUUCUAAAUUUGCCAACAAAAUACAAAAAAUUAUUAUACAAUUUACAUGGAUAAUGAAUCUAAAAGCUAGAAAGAAUGGGCCUCCUUGGUUAAACACAUUUAUUCUGAAACUGAUGAACGCGAUCAUUCCUUGAAGUUGUCGGUCAAAUCAGGAUACAAUCGACACCACUUUAUUUCACUGAGAAAUAGGGUAGUGAAAGAAAUAAGAAAAUCUAAAGCUGACUUUUUCAUUACUGCUUUGAAUAGUGCGAAGGGAAAUUCAAAAAUAACCUGGAAUUAUUUUAAAAAACUAUUGGGUGAUACACAAAAUAAGAAAACAAAACUAAUGCAAAUUAAAUUAAAUGGAAACAUCCUGACGGAACCUCAAGUGAUGGCUGAUGCUUUUAACAACUACUUCAUUGAAUCUUUGUCAGAAAUCUCUGCUAAGUUUGCAGUAAAACAAAGGAAGGAAUACUCUGCAUUGUCUGCAACGCAGUUCUUUACUAUUACAAAUAUUACUGAGACCAAAGUUAUCGAUUUAAUUCAUUCACUCAAACCAUCUAAGGCAAAGGAUGUUUUUGGAAUGGACACGAACAUGCUCAAAGAUCUAGGUUAAACUCUUGCUACUCCUAUUGCCUCAAUCAUUAAUCUUUCAAUUUCAUCUGGUCACUUUCGAAAGGCCUGGAAAUCUGCUAUUGUUACCCCUGUCUUUAAAUCCGGUGACUCAACUUCUCUGAAUAGCUACCGACCUAAAAGCAUUCUUCCAGUCAUUUCCAAAGUUGCAGAAAAAUGGGUGUCAGAGCAGAUUGUCCAUUAUUUAAACAGCAGCUCCCCCUCUCUCCACGCCAUGCAGUUUGGUUUCAGAUCCAAGCAUUCCAUUGAAAUGGCUACAUGCCUCUUCAUUGAGAAAAUAAAAUCUUCUCUUGACAAGGGUGGAGUUGUAGGGGCGGUGUUCUUGGACCUCAGGAAAGCUUUCGAUACAGUAAAUCACUCUGUUCUUCUUACCAAGCUCUCAAAAUUUAUCUUCUCACGCAAAGCUGUGAGCUGGAUUGAAUCAUGACCGAACACAAUCUGUAUCAGUUAACAACUGCAGAUCAGAGUCUCUUAGGCUAACCUCUGGAGUCCCUCAGGGAUCAAUAUUAGGCCCCCUUUUAUUUAGUCUUUAUAUCAACGAUUUGCCCACUGUUUGUUCUGAAGCAGAGUGCGUAAUGUAUGCAGACGACAUGGUUUUCUUUUUUCAUGGUCGCUCCAAAGAUACUGUUGCUGCUAAACUCACUAAUACAAUGUCCUGUGUCACAACUUGGUUGCAGGAGUGCUGUCUACAGCUAAACGUUUCUAAAACUGUAGACAUGUAUUUCACUAAAACAAAUAGAGUAUCACCUGACCCCGACAUACUUGUUAAUGGAGAAAAAAAUGCAAAUUGUCAGCCAAUACAAAUAUCUUGGGUUAAUAAUAUAUUCACAGCUUUCCUUUAAAGCCCAUAUUGACAAAUUGUGUAAAAAUAUCAAAUUAAACCUCGCAAAUUUUCGUGCAAUUCGAAAUGAAAUGUCAACUGAAGCCGCAAAAAUGUACUUACAUUCAAUGAUUCUUAGUCACUUUAACUAUUGCAUAACCAGUUGGUCCCAGGCUGGUCAGAAUGCAAAAAAAACAUUGAAAGUUUUGUACAAACAAGUAAUUAAAGUGAUGGAUAAAAAACCAAGGCACUAUCAUCACUGUGCAAUUUUUAAAAAAUACAGUCUUUUAACCUGGGACAGUCUUCACAUAUUUGCAGAUUUAAAUUUGAUUUAUAAAGUACUGCAUGAUUUGGCUCCAGCUCCUCUGGCUGAGUUCAUCAGCCAAAGAAACAGCUCUGAGCGUGUCACUCGAGGCUCUGUCAGUGGUGACUGUCUCAUUCCUCUGCGCAGGAGCACUUUCAAUAAGUCAGCCUGGUCAGUGAGGAGCGCUGGUGAGUGGAACUCAGUACCUGAGGAGGUUAAACUGCUUACAACAUACAAGGCCUUCACAAAAAAAACCUGAAAAUGUGGCUAGUUAACACCUGUAGCUGCCAACACUUAUUUGUGGCAUUUCUACCUUUUACUGAAGCCUGUCUGGUCAUAGUGGAUUAUCGACGAGAGUACCUUUUCAAGUCUCGCUGCGAGGGCUUUCGAGGUAAUCUUGAUAUCUACAUUAAUCAGUGAUAAGGGAGAUAAUAAACCGGGAGAGUGGGGUUGUUACCUGACUUUAGUAAUAAUUUAAUUGAAGCUGUUCAUAUGGCUACUAAUUUGACCUUUAUCGUUUAUCUCCUUGACUGUUCUGAGAAAUGGAAGUGGUAGUAUUGGCCAGAAAUGUUUAAUGAAUUCGACGGGGAUUCUGUCCGGGCCAGGCGCUCGUCCCGAUUGCAUAUUUUUUUUGUGCGUUCUGUAAUUCUGUGAUGGUUAAAGGAACAUCAAGGCUGUCUUUAAUUUGUAUAAUUUAAUUGAGGAAUGUUUAGAUCCUUAAUAAAAGUUUCAAUUUCUCUUUGGUCUGGGUUGUUCAAAGAUGCGUGUAAGCUACUAUAAUAAUUGUAAAGAAAGUCAUUAAUUUCUUGCGGUGACUGUGUACAGUUGCCAUUUGAAUCUUAAAUGGCUGUAAUUAAUGACAUUUAAUUUUUUUUUAAUGUAUCUUUAUGGCUUGAAUUAAAUUUUCUAAAUGUGAGAUUCUUCUGAAGGACACUGCCCGAUCAAGAUUGGAGUGACACAAGCCAGUGCUGGAAUACCGGACAAACCUCUUAGAAGGAUGUAAUUGAACCAUGCAUACAUCUUGUAAUUAAAAUGUUUUUAAAUA